rnacentral:lncRNA from 1 species
GCGGACCGGGCGGCGAGCGGCGAGCGGGCAGGACAGAGGUGGACCUCAGCAGGCUCUGCAUAACCAGCCGUGUGUGAUGAGCGGCCACACCUUGCCUCCUCUUCCCGUCCCAGGCACCAACAGCACAGAGCAGGCCAGUGUCCCCAGAGCCAUGGCAGCCACGCUGGGAGCCGGCACGCCCCCCAGGCCCCAGGCCAGGAGCAUAGCUGGGGUGUAUGUGGAGGCCUCGGGCCAGGCCCAGAGUGUCUACACCGCCAUGGAGCAGGGCCUCCUGCCUGCUGGGCUCGGGCUGGCUCUGCUAGAGGCCC